rnacentral:rRNA from 1 species
UACGGAGGGUGCGAGCGUUGUCCGGAAUCACUGGGCGUAAAGGGCGCGUAGGCGGCGCGGGAAGUCAUCGGUGAAAGUUCAGGGCUCAACUCUGAAUCGGCCGGUGAUACUCUCGUGCUUGAGCACUGUAGAGGCAGGUGGAAUUCCGGGUGUAGCGGUGGAAUGCGUAGAGAUCCGGAAGAACACCGGUGGCGAAGGCGGCCUGACUGGGCAGUAGCUGACGCUGAUGCGCGACAGCGUGGGAGCAAACAGGAUAGAUGACCCUGGAGUCCGAGUACAACAUGUCU